UUUCACCUGGAAAUAUAUGUGUGUGCUCUUGACAGCUCUGAGGACCACUGUCAGAUUAACUGGAGAAUUACUUCACAUCAACAUCAUAUGGCGUCAGAGCCAUGAGGUGGAUGCACAGGCAAGCAGAUUGAGACGAAGACUGUUCGUGUUGGAGAUGAUGUACACCUGACAUGUCCCCGCAUAGGUUCAGGAACCUUGUUUUGGAUCAGGCUUGUUUCAGGAAACCUUCCUAAAAUCUUAGGAAAAACAUAUAGCUACGAGCCUGAUCCUCGCAUUACAGCCACCGAGGGGCAUGGAACAUUUGAUCUGCAUAUUGGAAAAGCAAAGCUAAGUGAUGCAGCAGUUUACUACUGUGUGAAAACACAACAAGGAGAAUUAAUAUUUUUAGAAGGAACAGACCUGAGAGUUGAAGGACCACAACCUGUUACCACUGCAAUCCCUACGUCUGAUCCAGUCCACACAGAAGACUCUGUGACUCUCCAGUGUUCAGUCCUCUCAGACUCUGAGAACAAAACACAUCUAGAAGAAAAGUACAUGUGCUGUUUUAGAGCUGGAUCACAUCAGUCUCUCCCAAGUUUUAAUUAUACUCAAGGAGACAGUGUUUAUGAGAAUAAAACGAACCCAGAGGGAGUCUCAACAAAUAAAUGUAUCCACAGCUUCUUGAAGAACAUCAGCUGCUCUGAUGCUGGGACUUAUCACUGUGCUGUGGCCAAAUGUGGAGAGAGAUUCUCUGAUAAGAGAUCAAAUCUCACUACUGAAGGUAAGUGCAUCAUAUUUCCAUAUAAUAAGAAAAAUAACUAUUUUUGUUUUUGAUUGGGCUUAAGAAUUUGUUCUCUGACAUCAUAUGAUAAAUUAUAAGUUACACUUCUACCAAUUAAUUUUUCAUUUCAUUUGUGCUCUUUUUCAUUUUAUCUCAGCAGUAAAUGUUGACCAAGUGCAGGACAAAACAGUUCUCUGUCUGUUAUGUGCUGCUUUGGCUAUAAGUCUGAUUGUUAUAGCCUUUCUCAUUUAUUUAAUCAAGAAACUCAAGAAAAAUUCUUAUCGCUGUUACAGUAAGUGAAGUCACUCAUAUAUCGAUCUAUCAAACAAUAUUUGGUAAAGUUGCAUCUUCCCUAACACUGUGGUUUUAUUUUGUGAUACAGCUGCUGUUGCUCUGCAAACUAAUGCAACAGCCAGUGGUAAUCAGGAGCGUCAGCAGACAGAUGAGGAUUCAUUGGUUUAUUCUGCACCAACCUUCACCAGUAGAAAAGCUAGUAAAACAGUGACAAGGGAUACAAAAACGACAGAAGAGGAGAGUAUCUACACUGAUGUCAGAACUCUUGGGUUGGAUUAAUAGUCUGAUCAUCUAAACACUGCAUUUGUUAAUUGAUACUGAUAUAAUUUUGUUGGCACACUGUGAGGGAAAUGCACACUGAAACUUAAUUUCACCUCUGAAGUCAACAGAAAAAUAUCCAUGUAUAUUUGAUAACCUAAAAAUAAUAUUUCUUUUUGACAUAAUGUGGUUUUGUAAAGAAAGUUAAUCAUAACACAAAAUAAGUACAUGUAACAGUUAAGCUUUUGCCACUAGACCUAUGUAGUAGGACUCACAUAUCUAUAAACAUUCAUUUAAUUGCACAGUUUUUAUCAAAGUUGUUUGUUCUUUUGUCUGUUUGUAUGAAUAUUUAUAUUUAUUUUCAAGUCUGUAAACUUCUUCAAUGACCCACGUCUAUGUUCCAAUGUCAUGUCAGAGUACUGUAAUGUACUGACAGGAAAUGGGUGAGUAGAUGUGUUGCUUCAUUCUGAAUAGACAAAUACAUUUAAUAACCAGAUGCUAUAAUAAAAACUUGAUUUUUAAUUUGCCAUUUACUAAAACUGUCUGUUGUCAUUUUGCUUCUGCAUAGCUAUACACCUAAAUCAGUGUGAGAAGCUUGAAAGUAUUGUUAAAUGAGUAAAUGAAUAUAACACAGCAUAAACAACUAUUAAAACAAUAAUUCUUGAUGUAA